GAGACACGUAGCCGCAGUGAAAGCGAGCCUGAAUAGGGCGCACAGUCAGUGGGGGUAGACGCGAAACCAAGUGAUCUACACUUGGCCAGGAUGAAGUCCCGGUAACACGGGAUGGAGGUCCGCACCAAUAAGCGUUGAAAAGCUUCUGGAUGAGCCGAGUGUAGGAGUGAAAGGCCAAUCAAACUUGGAGAUAGCUCGUACUCCCCGAAAGGCAUUUAGGUGCCGCGUCGGAUGGUCACCGUGAGAGGUAGAGCGACCGAUAGGACAAGAGGGCUUCACCGCCUAUCGAGUCCUGACGAACUCCGAAUGCUCACGGUCUGCAGUCCGGCAGUAAGGGGGCGGGUGCUAAGGUCCGUCCCCGAGAGGAGAAGAAUCCAGACCGCCGUCUAAGGUCCCGGAGUUCUGCCUGAGUUAGUCUAACGAAGUCUGGUCCCUAUGACAGCUAGGAUGUUGGCUUGGAAGCAGCCAUUCAUUCAAAGAGUGCGUAACAGCUCACUAGUCGAGGGUCCGGGCAUGGAUAAUAAUCGGGUAUAAGGCAGACACCGAAGGCGCGGGAUAGCAUUAAAGAAAGUAUCGGUAGGGGAGCAUACUCACAGCGUCGAAUGGUGUACGUAAGUUAUCCUGGAGCGGUGAGUAAAGCAAAUGUAGGAAUAAGUAACGAUAAGGAGGGUUAGAUUCCCUCCCGCUGUAAGACCAAGGUUUCCCGGGCAAUGCCAAUCAGCCCGGGGUCAGUCGGGUCCUAAGUCUAAGCCGAACGGCGAUGGCGAUGGCAGAGACGGUUAAUAUUCCGUCACUGCCGCAUGGGGCGACGUGGAGACGGAGCAGUGAAACCACCGCGGGGCGACGGAAGUCCCCGUUGAAGGGUGUAGGCGUUGAGGAAGGCAGGCAAAUCCACCUUCCGAGCUGAACCUGACAGUACGGAGUCCUCCUCGGAGGAAUCUGAUAGUGUGGGUAAUCAUACUCCCGAGAAAAUCCGCUAAGCUUAACCCAUGCGGCACCCGUACCGCAAACGGACACACGUGGUCGGGUAGAACAUACUAAGGCGUUGAGAGAUUCAUGGUUAAGGAACUAGGCAAAUUGACCCUGUAACUUCGGGAUAAAGGGUCCUCGUGAUGAGCGAGGCGCAGAGAAUAGGUCCAGGCAACUGUUUAACAAAAACACAGGGCUGUGCAAACUCGAAAGAUGACGUAUACAGCCUGACACCUGCCCGGUGCCGGAAGGUUAAGAGGAGAUGUCACUAGCAAUAGGAAGCAUUGAAUUGAAGCCCCGGUAAACGGCGGCCGUAACUAUAACGGUCCUAAGGUAGCGAAAUUCCUUGUCGGGU
rnacentral:rRNA from 1 species